AUGAAGGCAGCAGUGGUGAAGUUUGUGUCCGAGUGUGCAGUUUGCAAACAAGCCAAACCAGAACAUGUUCGCACUCCGGGACUGCUCGAACCACUAGAGGUGCCAGCGCACCCUUGGCAUACUGUUACACUUGACUUUGUCGAAGGGCUGCCAGCGUCGAGGGGAUAUAGCUGCAUCAUGGUGGUUGUGGACAAACUGACAAGAUAUGCCCAUUUUGUGCCGCUGGCACACCCCUUCUCGGCGGUUCAAGUGGCAUCUGCUUACAUGACUAAUAUCUACAAAUAUCAUGGGUUGCCUCAUGCUCUGGUGUCCGACAGAGAUCGCAUUUUUACCAGUAAAUUGUGGCGAGAACUGUUUCGUCAAGCUGGCACAGAACUGCGUAUGUCCUCGGCCUAUCAUCCUCAGACAGAUGGCACUACUGAGCGGGUUAAUCAGUGUCUGGAGGCAUACCUCCGCUGCUUUGUCCAUGCCUACCCUCACCGCUGGUUCCAAUGGAUACAUCAGGCAGAAUUCUGGUACAAUACAUCGCUGCAUUCUGCACUUGGGAUGUCUCCUUUUGAGAUGCUUUAUGGCCACCCUCCUCGGCAUUUCGGCAUUCUGGAUGCAUCUGCAGCUGCUCCGCCGGACCUCUCUGUUUGGAUGCACGAACGCGCCCUGGUAACAGACUUGCUCAAACAACAUCUGGAGCGAGCUCGCCAACGAAUGAAGGACCAAGCAGACAAGCACCGGUCAGAGCGCGAGUUUGCCGUGGGGGAUUGGGUGUUCGUCAAGGUCCAGCCUUAUGUCCAGGUUUCAGUUGCGGAACGUGCUAAUCACAAACUAUCCUUCCGUUACUUUGGUCCCUUCCAGGUCACAGCUCGCAUCGGAGCCGUUGCCUACCGUCUGCAACUUCCAGAGUCAAGCAAGGUACACCCAGUGUUUCAUGUAUCACUUCUUCCGGAGCUCUGCCACCAGCAACCACGGUCGAACCGGAACUGCUUGCACCACCCAAGGAGCACUCUGUGCCGGCCAUCCCGGAGCAAGUCCUGGCGCGUCGGGUGGUUACCAGAGGAGCGGCCAAGAUACCUCAAGUGCUGA
rnacentral:rRNA from 1 species